UUGUGUUAAUCACUUUAUAUAACAGCAACAUCGAUACAAAAAUAGAGACAACUUCUGAACGUAACAUGGGAUGUUUACAGUGCUUUUUUUUUUAUUAUUAUUAUUUUUAAUCGUAAAAUAUCAAAAAAUGUUUUAUUUCCAGACUCUUUGUCCACAUAACUUAAUUCUGGCUAAUUCAUUAAUUUGACGUCAUUAGCGCUGUCCCUCCCCCGGCGGCCUCGUGGAGCAGGGUCCGGCACAGAGCACACGUAACCCUAAACCCUCCCACGACACGGUGCCAAAUUCACGCCCAGUUAGUCCCGAGGCGUCAUUAACAGCGGCAACACCCCCUUCUCUCUCUUUCGUCCCCAAACCGCGUCCCGAAAUUGCAGGGACACAGGGCGGGGGUAGCUCCCCAGCCCCUCCUCCGCGUGUUUUGGGGGCGGGAGAGGGGACGGAGGUGGGAAACUAGGGGGGACAGCUCCCGAGGCCACCCCCUCCCUCUCAAUGUCCCUCCUCCCGACCCUCAUCCCUUCCCAAUCGUGUCGGGAUAGGAAAGUCAGCGACGGGGUGCGGGGAACGGACCCGGCGGACUUAGACAACACAGACAGAUCACAGGGAAUGGCAAUCAAGACACGAAACGAGCAGUAUGUGGCUAGUGACUUAUCUUCCUGAGGAGAGUGACGGAGAUGUCUGUUUGGAAUUAUUCCUGGAAUUAGACCAGCAUGAGGUCUCCUCUACCAAUCUAAGUUUGACAUACCUGGUGUGUUGGCACAGUCGCUUUGCAAAAGGAAACGGUGAGAAGCGAACCCUCCGUGGGCAAACCAUCAGUAGCAGGGGCAGCAUCUCUUGAACAUGCACAGGUGGCAUGGGCACACGCAGCAGGACCGCUGGCUCGUGGGCAGCUGCUCCAGAAGCAUGUGUUUCUGCAAGUGAUGGUGCUGACAUGUAGCAAGGACGAAGCGUGAUGGUGGGGAAGCGGUAUGAAAGAUGGUAUGGACUGGCACACCAGCUGGCUAGUGAAGGCUUUCUCCUUCUAAACCAAGUUUUACAGCCCCAGCCCCUGGCAAACGGGUGCCUCCAGGAGGUCAAAAAAGAGCCCGGGUAGGCACAACGGCUGAGCACAGUGGUGGUUUGCAUCUGGAGGGCAGAGAGGAGCGCCUGGGUUGGCUGGGGUGGCACAGACCAACAGACCUGUCUGCAGCUGGCAGCCCGGAGUGGUUACAGAUGCACCGCUGGACAGUGGAGUUGGAGAAGUGAUGCCCAGCUGAGGGCAUAAACGUGGUCAUUGGCUACCUGAUACAGACUCAUGUGUUUCCAGCCAGCAGAAAUGUACAACUAUUGUGUUUGCAAAAACACCUGGUCUUUGGAUAACAGACAAGUUUAUUUUACCAGUGCCAAGUACUUAGUAAAAUACUUAUUAGUAAAGUACUUAUUACUUAAGUAACUUCUGUUUGUUAUGCUUAUAGAAUAUGGGCUGUGAUUACAGUCUUAUUUUACUUCAGGUACAAAAUACAAACGAUCAUACAAUCAAAAAUACAACAAUUCCUAACUUCAGUCUUCCCACAUUCUGAAUAAAUGUUGAUCUUGCAACAGAACAAAAAGAUGUUGGCUCUUAUUUUGUUCUGCUUCUGCUUUAUGCUGUCUUUAGGAAAACUUUCUCUAUUGACAUGUGAUUUCUAUGCAAUGUGAUUCAGGGCAUGCACACUAUGGCAUAUUUUAUUAACAUGUAAGACAAAGUAUCCUACCCAUUGCAAGCCUUAAUAAACAUGAAAGCAUUGCACAGGACAACAGUGUCUGUGCCCACUGCAAAGCUUUAAUUGCUUGGGAAAACUGAGCAAAAAUUAACUUCACAUCAUGAAGCUAUGAAACAAAUUAAGGACAUUGAAUCAUCUGCAAUGCCUCUGGUUAUAUCUGCUAAAUAUUUUCUAACCAUUCUAAGAAAGCAAAACAGAAGGCAAACCCGCCAUGAAUAGAAACAAUAAUGGUCAGUAGCAAGCAUUGCAUGUUUUUUGAAUGGAAAGCAAUUUAUCACAUCUGAAAUAAAAGCUGUUUAUUCUUGUGUUUCACUGUCUGUAGCAAUCUUUACAAUUUAUCUGUGAAAAAGUGAGGCACUGUACCACUAUUAGCAUAUGAAUACUUGACACACCAAAUUGGCUGUACAAUAACAGAAGGACAUUUACUAUUGGUGUUAUGCACACAGACAAAGCGGCCAUUUUUGGAAAAAAAAAAAAAAAAGAAAGAGAGA